GACGAACGCUGGCGGCGUGCUUAACACAUGCAAGUCGAACGGAAAGGCCCUGCUUUUGUGGGGUGCUCGAGUGGCGAACGGGUGAGUAACACGUGAGUAACCUGCCCUUGACUUUGGGAUAACUUCAGGAAACUGGGGCUAAUACCGGCUAGGAGCUCCUGCUGCAUGGUGGGGGUUGGAAAGUUUCGGCGGUUGGGGGUGGACUCGCGGCUUAUCAGCUUGUUGGUGGGGUAGUGGCUUACCAAGGCUUUGACGGGUAGCCGGCCUGAGAGGGUGACCGGCCACAUGGGGACUGUGAUACGGCCCAGACGCCUACGGGAGGCAGCAGUGGGGAAGAUUGCCCAAUGGGCGGAAGCCUGAUGCAGCAACGCCCCGUGCGGGAUGACGGCCUUCGGGUUGUAAACCGCUUUCGCCUGUGACGAAGCGUGAGUGACGGUAAUGGGUAAAGAAGCACCGGCUAACUACGUGCCAGCCGCCGCCGUAA
rnacentral:rRNA from 1 species